UACGUAGGGGGCAAGCGUUGUCCGGAAUUAUUGGGCGUAAAGAGCGUGUAGGCGGCCUGGAAGGUCAGCUGUGAAAACUCGAGGCUCAACCUCGAGACGUCGGUUGAAACCACCUGGCUAGAGUCCGGAAGAGGAGAGUGGAAUUCCCGGUGUAGCGGUGAAAUGCGCAGAUAUCGGGAAGAACACCCGUGGCGAAGGCGGCUCUCUGGGACGGUACUGACGCUGAGACGCGAAAGCGUGGGGAGCGAACAGG
rnacentral:rRNA from 1 species